GCCCUUGACAGCAAUUUAGUGUUCUUUUUGGACGAGCUUUUUUUUUUUGAAAUUGUCUGGUUCUAUAGCACUGCGACCAUCUCGUACAGAAAUAUUAGCUUCUGACUUGAACGUCCUUGUACUCUCCUGUUAUAAAUCUCACAGGUUGUCACUGUAUUCUUUCAAGCUUAUUGAUGAUUGAAGAUGUGAACUGGUCCCAUACUAUUGACGAUAUGAUAUCUCAUUAUUGACCUGACCAUUAAAAUAUAUGCGGUUUUCUCGCAUUCCGGUUGACAAUAUCUCAAAUUUUAGGGCCUCGAUUAGUUUUUCUGAUUCCUUUAGAUUUUAUUACAAAAUAGUGCAUAUUCAACACAGUUUUGAUAUAUAGUAUACAUUAACUAAGUGGCUCAUUUAAAAUAUUUUUUUAUCAGUUUGUUUUACAAAAAACUUAUAUGAUAUCAUUAAACAUUUUUUAUAGAUAUAGGAAGAUGUGGUAUGAGCGCCAAUGAGACAACUCUCCA
rnacentral:lncRNA from 1 species